CCUACGGGCGGCUGCAGUGGGGAAUAUUGGACAAUGGGGGGAACCCUGAUCCAGCCAUGCCGCGUGUGUGAAGAAGGUCCUCGGGUUGUAAAGCACUUUCAGUGAGGAAGAACGCCUGGUGGUUAAUACCCAUCAGGAAAGACAUCACUCACAGAAGAAGCACCGGCUAACUCCGUGCCAGCAGCCGCGGUAAUACGGAGGGUGCGAGCGUUAAUCGGAAUUACUGGGCGUAAAGCGCGCGUAGGUGGCUUGAUAAGCCGGUUGUGAAAGCCCCGGGCUCAACCUGGGAACGGCAUCCGGAACUGUCAAGCUAGAGUGCAGGAGAGGAAGGUAGAAUUCCCGGUGUAGCGGUGAAAUGCGUAGAGAUCGGGAGGAAUACCAGUGGCGAAGGCGGCCUUCUGGACUGACACUGACACUGAGGUGCGAAAGCGUGGGUAGCAAACAGGAUUAGAUACCCCUGUAGUC
rnacentral:rRNA from 1 species